UACGGAGGGGGCUAGCGUUGUUCGGAAUUACUGGGCGUAAAGCGUACGUAGGCGGCUUUGUAAGUUAGAGGUGAAAGCCCGGGGCUCAACUCCGGAAUUGCCUUUAAGACUGCAUCGCUUGAAUCAUGGAGAGGUGAGUGGAAUUCCGAGUGUAGAGGUGAAAUUCGUAGAUAUUCGGAAGAACACCAGUGGCGAAGGCGACUCACUGGACAUGUAUUGACGCUGAGGUACGAAAGCGUGGGGAGCAACAGG
rnacentral:rRNA from 1 species